AUCUCUGCAUGGGACACACUGGGCCGCUCAGAACCGACGGACCGCCCCGCUGACAGGGACGGUUCUGUCGGGCCGAAGCUCGCAGGUCUGCUGCUGGACGGUUUGCUCUGGUUCUGGUUCUGAAGUGACAUGGGAACUAGACAGACAGCUUCUGGGUUUUAUUGCAGUUUCUCUUCUCUUUAGCAGCCACCUGAACCUCUGGUUCCUUAGAUUGUAGUUUCCUUUGGAUAGUUUAGUAAACCUGCUGCUUCACAGUUUGGGCCCAGAAUCCAUCAUAAGAUAGAGGAUGAGGUCAUCUGAUAGAGGAUGAGGGUGAUCUAGUUGUUGAUGAGGGUGAUCUAAUAGUGGAUGAGGGUGAUCUAAUAGUUGAUGAGGGUGAUCUAAUAGUGGAUGAGGGUGAUCUAAUAGUGGAUGAGGGUGAUCUAGUAGUGGAUGAGGGUGAUCUAGUAGUGGAUGAGGGUGAUCUAAUAGUGGAUGAGGGUGAUCAUAUAGAGGAUGAGGGUAAUCUAAUAAAGGAUGAGGUCAUCUGAUAGAGGAUGAGGGUGAUCUAGUUGUUGAUGAGGGUGAUCUAAUAGUGGAUGAGGGUGAUCUAAUAGUGGAUGAGGGUGAUCUAAUAGUUGAUGAGGGUGAUCUAGUAGUGGAUGAGGAUGAUCUAGUAGUGGAUGAGGGUGAUCUAAUAGUGGAUGAGGGUGAUCUAAUAGUUGAUGAGGGUGAUCUAGUAGUGGAUGAGGAUGAUCUAGUAGUGGAUGAGGAUGAUCUAGUAGUGGAUGAGGGUGAUCUAAUAGUGGAUGAGGGUGAUCUAGUAGUGGAUGAGGGUGAUCUAAUAGUGGAUGAGGGUGAUCUAAUAGUGGAUGAGGGUGAUCUAAUAGUGGAUGAGGGUGAUCUAGUAGUGGAUGAGGGUGAUCUAAUAGUGGAUGAGGGUGAUCUAGUAGUGGAUGAGGGUGAUCUAAUAGUGGAUGAGGGUGAUCUAAUAGUGGAUGAGGGUGAUCUAGUAGUGGAUGAGGGUGAUCUAGUAGUGGAUGAGGGUGAUCUAGUAGUGGAUGAGGGUGAUCUAAUAGUGGAUGAGGGUGAUCUAAUAGUUGAUGAGUGUGAUCUAGUAGUGGAUGAGGAUGAUCUAAUAGUUGAUGAGGGUGAUCUAAUAGUGGAUGAGGGUGAUCUAGUAGUGGAUGAGGGUGAUCUAAUAGUGGAUGAGGGUGAUCUAGUAGUGGAUGAUGGUGAUCUAGUAGUGGAUGAGGGUGAUCUAGUAGUGGAUGAGGGUGAUCUAGUAGUGGAUGAGGGUGAUCUAGUAGUGGAUGAGGGUGAUCUAGUAGUGGAUGAGGGUGAUCUAGUAGUGGAUGAGGGUGAUCUAAUAGUGGAUGAGGGUGAUCAUAUAGAGGAUGAGGGUAAUCUAAUAAAGGAUGAGGUCAUCUGAUAGAGGAUGAGGGUGAUCUAGUUGUUGAUGAGGGUGAUCUAAUAGUGGAUGAGGGUGAUCUAAUAGUUGAUGAGGGUGAUCUAGUUGUGGAUGAGGGUGAUCUAAUAGUGGAUGAGGGUGAUCUAAUAGUGGAUGAGGGUGAUCUAGUAGUGGAUGAGGGUGAUCUAGUAGUGGAUGAGGGUGAUCUAAUAGUGGAUGAGGGUGAUCAUAUAGAGGAUGAGGGUAAUCUAAUAAAGGAUGAGGUCAUCUGAUAGAGGAUGAGGGUGAUCUAGUUGUUGAUGAGGGUGAUCUAAUAGUGGAUGAGGGUGAUCUAGUAGUGGAUGAGGGUGAUCUAAUAGUGGAUGAGGGUGAUCUAAUAGUGGAUGAGGGUGAUCUAGUAGUGGAUGAGGGUGAUCUAGUAGUGGAUGAGGGUGAUCUAGUAGUGGAUGAGGGUGAUCUAAUAGUGGAUGAGGGUGAUCAUAUAGAGGAUGAGGGUAAUUUAAUAAAGGAUGAGGUCAUCUGAUAGAGGAUGAGGGUGAUCUAGUUGUUGAUGAGGGUGAUCUAAUAGUGGAUGAGGGUGAUCUAAUAGUGGAUGAGGGUGAUCUAGUAGUGGAUGAGGGUGAUCUAAUAGUGGAUGAGGGUGAUCUAAUAGUGGAUGAGGGUGAUCUAGUAGUGGAUGAGGGUGAUCUAGUAGUGGAUGAGGGUGAUCUAGUAGUGGAUGAGGGUGAUCUAAUAGUGGAUGAGGGUGAUCAUAUAGAGGAUGAGGGUAAUCUAAUAAAGGAUGAGGUCAUCUGAUAGAGGAUGAGGUCAUCUGAUAGAGGAUGAGGGUGAUCUAAUAGAGGAUGAGGGUGAUAUAAUAGUGGAUGAUUGUGAUCUAAUAGAGGAUGAGGUCAUCUGAUAGAGGAUGAGGUCAUCUGAUAGAGGAUGAGGUCAUCUGAUAGAGGAUGAUUGUGAUCUAAUAGUUGAUGAUUGUGAUCUAAUAGAGGAUGAGGGUGAUAUAAUAGAGGAUGAGGGUGAUCUAAUAGUGGAUGAGGGUGAUCUAAUAGUGGAUGAGGGUGAUCUAAUAGAGGAUGAGGGUGAUCUAAUAGAGGACGAGGGGAAUGAGGGUGAUCUAAUAGAGGAUGAGGGGAAUGAGGGUGAUCUAAUAGAGGAUGAA